GGUAAAACAUUGAGUGAGAAAAAUAGCUUAUAGCUGAUGCAGACCUUCUUUGUGUAUUAGUUGAUACAAUGCACACAAUGCAAACAACUUGGUUAUUUUUAAUCCUUUAUAUGGUAUUUAAACUAUUUAUUUCAACCCAGGCAUUUUCAGUGGGUAGAGAACCAUCCGAUGGGAUAACAUUGGAGGAAUGUUGUGAAAAUUGCAAUUGUCAAUUUUGUCCGGCCUAUUAUGGAUGUACAAAUGAUAUCUCUUUGAUCAGGUUGAUGCAUCCGUUUUCAACCCCAAGAAUGAAAAUUGGGUUAAUUUUACACAAAAUAUCAAUUAAGAGAAUAUAGUAUGACGCCAGUUCAAGAAAUAUGCAGUUAAUUUUAAAACAAUUAUUCUUAUACAAAAUGCCAGAAAUUAUGUUAAUUUGCACAAUAAAUUUUCAAUACAUUCAACAA